ensembl:lncRNA
CUGAAGGGCCCCGCCCCCUGCCCUGACGCGGUCGCUAUGGUAACUCGUCCGGGUUUCUGAGGUUUCUGUCAACAGUGAGAGGAAUAGUGAAGAAAUGCCUUUCUCCAUUUUGCUCUAAUUCUCCCUUGGUCCCGGCACUACGAUUGUUGCAUCCCUCCACAUCUCCUAAGGAGUGGGUGCCAGCUGACAAUGGGAGAGACUGUGUAACAGAGCGAGAUAGCCACGGACUUCCUAGUAGGCUCCACUUCCCUACCCAAGCCACAGCAACAAAAAUCAGACCUUCUGUUGCAAGAUGGCCCUAAGGAUUUGACAUUGAUCACCAUCAUAGAAUUGGAACUUACAAAUAUUUUUCUCUUGGUAACACUCUGCAGAUGGUUAAGAGCCAGCACGUGGUUGCUGGGGAUUGAACUCAGGACACUGUAGCUAACCAUUGUCGGUAACUCCAGUUCCCGGAACUCCAGCACUGUCUCUGCCCUCCAUGGGCAGCCCACAUGCGAGUGAUGCACACAUACAUACAAGUAAAGCACCCGCACAGAUGCAGCAAAACUUUGAAGAAAGAUAAUUUGUUUCCAGCAAAUCUGGACUAUAAGAAUGUCUGACAAACAACUUAAAUCAAGAAAGAGAGUUUGUUCACCUCCUGACAGACAAGAGAUGGGGAGGUGCAGAAGAAAGAGAGAAGAACAGAGAGGAAGAGAGGGGAGGGAAAAAGGAGAGGAAAGCAGUCUGGGGCAAGAAAGAUCCAAGGACCCACUGUAGUGACUUACUUCCUUCAGCUGCAAAGUGGCUAUAAGUUUCAAGUGGUCCCUGAAAGAACACCUCAGCUGGACUCAACCCCUCAAAUCACAAGCCUUUUGGAAGACCAGUUCACAUCCAAACUGAACAGUACAUUUCCUAGAACACCAAAGUCUCAUGUGCGUCUCACAAGGUAAUAUUUGGUAUACCAAGGGUUCCCAAAGCCUUAUCAGUUCAAACAUUGUUGACAAUUUAGGUUCAAUUAAGAUCUGAGACUCAAGGCAAAUUUUUACUCUUAGGCUCUAUAAAAUAAAACAAGCGGUGAAUGUCAUGUUUGGUUGUUGCCUCUUAGAAGUCUGCUCUUUUCUGAAAGGAAAAAAAGGGGAGAGGAUCUGAGGG